ACCGGACCGGGGAAUAAAAUAUGAAAAUUAUUCUUGUGAAUGUGUGCCGAUGUGCGCGUAAAUAAAAUGGCCCUCGGUGUUCAUCAAGUCAGGAUGAUUCUCCAGCCCUAAACAGCUGUCACGUGCCGGGACUGUGACACCAGCAGCACGACCCUCAUGCAGAGGGACUUUACCCAAACAUUAUCAGAGCUCCACACUAUAUUUUCAGUGCAUUAGUGUGCUAUAUGCUUCCUGGUGCAGAAUUAUGGCAGAGUGCCAAGCUUAGAAAGCAAUAACACAGAUAACAUUUUACGUGUUUGCCUGCAUAAGUACUAGGGCUAACUCUAGCUAUAGGCAGAACAGGCAGCUGCCCGGGGCCCCCAAAUUACUGGCGUUGUUGAGAAACUGGAAUGAUCAUCAGUUUCCUUUUUAGUGGGGCCUCCCAAGUAAGGCUUUGCUUUGGGCCCCUGAAAAUAAAUGAUUGGAUGGAUGGAUGUUACAUUUAUCCAUGCACUUUUUCAAGACAUCCAACGCACUUGGGGAACGCAACCAAUGUGUGUGUGUGUGGGGUGGGGGGCACCACUGAGUAGCACCCACCUGCAUGGCUCGACGGCAGCCAUUCUGCACCAGUACGCUCACCACACGGUAGAUGGGGAGGAGGCAGGAGAGAAUUCACCAGUUAGAUAUAGGCGAGGAUCAGGAGGCGAGAUUUUACAGGGCCACUUUAUCCAGGCCAUUAGGCUACCGGCCUUCUCAUUGGAAAGAUGGCAGAAGUGUCCCUGAACUGAACUGUGUCCUGUAUUCAGCGGGUUCGGCGAGAGAGACAAUCCUGGCUUAGAAGAGGCUGUCACCAGUAUCCUAUGAAAUGUCACUUUUAGAGCUUUCCUAGCAUCCCAGUCCACGCCAGGUUGCAUUAAAUGAAAAUAAUAACCUGCCACAGCUUAACAUAUGGACGGCUCUGUCAGCUUGUGUGCUUAUAGCUCCCGCAGAUGUUCACAGGGUCCCUGGUUCGAGUCCAAGGCUGGUUCACCUAAUUAGAGCGAGCGAGAGCAGCUUUGAAGAACCCAGCUGUUACUGCUCAGUCGGGAAACAUUCAGCACAGGGGAGGAAAGUGGCGAGGUGCGGAGACGGAUCAGGGCCGGUGUCGCGUUACCUUCCGUGUUGCCGUGGAGAUUCAUCAGCAGCCUCCCUGCCCACAGACAUUCACGGCCGCCUGAGGCAUCAAUACAAACCCUGACCGGGGGUCCGGUUGGACCCGCUGUCGCCCAGCAUUACGUGUCGUUCUGCAUUCUGAGUCCAUUUAUCUGUUUAGUGCGAUGAAGGCCUCUUUAUGCAAGUUUUCUCCACACAUUGAGUAGAGAUCAGCUGACCUGUACCGCUCUGAUUCAGCCCGCCCACUUUUAGUCAUAGCCAAUCAACCAUGCCGAUUGGAGGAGCGAUUCGACCCUCACUCCCCCGGCAGCCCCAAAGUGCCUGAUAGACUUAACACAGCCUUGUGCUGCAACCAGCUGGCCUAUAAAUCCACCCAGUUUACUCUGACUCUAUGGACAAAUGCAAUAAAUGACAAACUCCAGGCUGGAGUCGCAGCCAUGGCCUGGUCUGUAGAACAGAGCCUGUGUAGCAGUAACUGAACAAGCAGUGAUUCAGGCAUGUUUUGCAUACC